rnacentral:rRNA from 1 species
AGUGAACGCUGGCGGUAGGCCUAACACAUGCAAGUCGAACGGCAGCACAGUAAGAGCUUGCUCUUACGGGUGGCGAGUGGCGGACGGGUGAGGAAUACAUCGGAAUCUACUUUUUCGUGGGGGAUAACGUAGGGAAACUUACGCUAAUACCGCAUACGACCUACGGGUGAAAGCAGGGGAUCUUCGGACCUUGCGCGAUUGAAUGAGCCGAUGUCGGAUUAGCUAGUUGGCGGGGUAAAGGCCCACCAAGGCGACGAUCCGUAGCUGGUCUGAGAGGAUGAUCAGCCACACUGGAACUGAGACACGGUCAAGACUCCUACGGGAGGCAGCAGUGGGGAAUAUUGGACAAUGGGCGCAAGCCUGAUCCAGCCAUACCGCGUGGGUGAAGAAGGCCUUCGGGUUGUAAAGCCCUUUUGUUGGGAAAGAAAAGCAGCAGGUUAAUACCCCGCUGUUCUGACGGUACACAAAGAAUAAGCACCGGCUAACUUCG